rnacentral:rRNA from 1 species
UGAGGAAUUAUGCGCAAUGGGGGAAACCCUGACGCUGCGACGCCGCGUGGGUGAUGAAGGCCUUCGGGUCGUAAAACCCUGUCGAGAGGGGCGAAAAGCCGGUGUGUUAAUACCACGCCGGCUUGACGGUACCUCUGGAGGAAGUCCCGGCUAACUCCGUGCCAGCAGCCGCGGUAAUACGGAGGGGGCAAGCGUUGUUCGGAAUUACUGGGCGUAAAGCGCGCGUAGGCGGUCGUGCAAGUCAGAGGUGAAAGCCCCAGGCUCAACCGGGGAACUGCGUCUGAUACUGCUCGACUUGAGUCCGGUAGGGGAUGGCGGAAUGCCCGGUGUAGCGGUGGAAUGCGUAGAUAUCGGGAGGAACACCGAUGGCGAAGGCGGCCAUCUGGGCCGGAACUGACGCUGAGGCGCGAGAGCUAGGGGAGCAAACA